AUUCCAUUGUUUGAUGCUGUUAAGAGUGGUAGUAUUGAAGCUGUUGAUAUUCUAUUAACUAAUGGAGCUAGAACUGAUGUGUCUGAAUAUUCUGGUACUCCAUUACACUGUGCUAGUGAAACUGGUAAUGCUGAUAUUAUCAAGUUAUUAAUAACUAAAGGAAAGGCUGAUGUGAAUGCUGCGGAUAAGAACAACAGUACUCCAUUGUUUAAUGCUGUUAAGAGU